UGGUGGAGUGAUUUGUCUGGUUAAUUCCGUUAACGAACGAGACCCCCGCCUGCUAAAUAGUUGAGGGAAUGUUUUUUCAUUCCCUGCAGCUUCUUAGAGGGACUUUUGGUGACUAACCAAAGGAAGUUGGGGGCAAUAACA
rnacentral:rRNA from 1 species